rnacentral:rRNA from 1 species
GACGAACCGUGCGAACGUUGUUCGGAAUCACUGGGCUUAAAGGGCGCGUAGGCGGCGCGGUAAGUCACUUGUGAAAUCUCUGAGCUUAACUCAGAACGGCCAAGUGAUACUGCAGUGCUAGAGUGCAGAAAGGGCAAUCGGAAUUCUUGGUGUAGCGGUGAAAUGCGUAGAUAUCAAGAGGAACACCUGAGGCGAAGGCGGGUUGCUAGGCUGACACUGACGCUGAGUGCGCGAAAGCCAGGGGAGCAAACGGG